AAAGAUGAAUGAUUAACUGAUGAAUAUCUUUGGCCCGUAGUGCAAAGAUGAACAGGUGUUGAGAUGAACAUGACCAACUAGUGAUACAAAUGAAUAUCUUUGGCCUGUAGUGCAAAGAUGAAUAUUUGAUUAAAGAUGUAUAUUAAUUGUUGUUACAGGGAUAAUAUAUUGAUGAUGGACUUUUAAAUCUUAGAAGAUAGUAGAACUCAUUCUUGACUUGACUCUUCUAAUGGAUUGUUG
rnacentral:lncRNA from 1 species